rnacentral:lncRNA from 1 species
AGGGAUUCUAUGCUAAUUUACUACCUCUUAAAAAAUAGAGGUUUUAAUAUUACUAUUCAUUUAUAUCAUGUAACUUUUUACACUCCAUUCAACUUAUUCGAUUUUACUACAAUAAUAUAUUCUUGUAAGUAAAUGAAACACGUUUUCUUCUCUAGACCACAUAAUCUACCUACCUCUUCUGCAGCUUUUCUACUGUUUCCACAUCCUCUCUUCUACUACUUUUCUACUUUCACCUCGUGAGAACAAAAGAAAACCCUAGAUCAUUUGAAUACUUAUAGAUCUUCAAACUUGAGGGUUCGAAGGUUUUUUGGAACAGUUUAUCGCAAACUCUAUUAGGUAAGAUAUUGGUUUGUUUUUUGGGGUUGAAAUUUUAUUUUUUUGACUUCAUAUGUAUGUUUUUUGAAGAUUUUAACUUCCAUUUUUAUGUUGUUUUUGCUUCAACAUUAAUUACUAUCCAGCCUUCUAAUACUGAUAAAUCUGAUUUCGUGGACUUAAGUUUUCAAUUUGAGACCUUUCUUCAGUGCUGUGAUUUUUGUUAGUUAAGGUUUUAUUUUGGGAGUUUUGGGAUUUCAUUUAAUUUGGGGAUUUUAAAUAAAUCUGCUAUGAUAGACUUCAAAAGAUCAAAUUCCAGAUUGUUUUUUUUUUUUUGCAAUGUCGUUUAGCUGAAAUUUGAUCAUCUGGGAAGAGUGUCCUAAACAUGCCACGUGGGAUUUUGUUCCCUUCCCCUCCACCACCAACACACUUUUGACCAUCUUCUUUGUUGGGGCUGGGCUUUAACGAUUUGAAAGAAACCAAUUCUUUUUUACUUAUACAGUAGUUAUUCAUCCUGGAUGAAUUGGGGACAAUUGGGGAAGCAGCUAGAAUCCUGGGGGAAUUGGGUUCCAGCCAUCCUACUCAUAUACUCCGAGCACCUGUAGUGGAAGAGAAAAUCAAAACUUUAUUUUCUGUUGAAUUAUUAAUCUGACAAAAACACAAGUACAUAUAGAGAGAGUUUCAAGUCAUGAUCUCACUGUGAGCUAAAACAUUCCCCACGAUGGUAUCCCCAAAGCGCUACAUGGUCAAGUAUCCAUUUUCAACCUCUAGAUACGGCCCUGUCUUCACCAUCUUCUUGUCCUUCUCUUAGCAACCUAAGCGUAAUGUAGCUAAGUACAGAACCAAGUAUGGUACUAUGACCCUUUAUAUGUAUCUCCCAACCUCCAUCUUCAUUCCAUCAAGGAUCACAACACUAAUUUAGUGAAGCUCAUAGUCAGAUGAAAAAAUACAAUAAUCUAAUAAAGAGGCCUUAUAAAAACGAAACAUUUGUUCCAGAAAACCCAAAAAUGAAUCAAAAAUUCAGUUUAAACCUAGCCUAAUGAUUGUAUACGUAUCGUAUAAUCUCUUUCUGAGAUUCUCGCAAUAGAACAACAUUGAUUGCUCCAGUUACAUACAAGGCUAAGACCUGUACGCUUCAAAAUUGCGAUUCCUUAGUUGUAACAUGUAUGUGUGCAAUAUCUAGGACCACACAUUGUUAAAUCAUUUGGUCCAAAGAAACUUGAACUUAUAACCUGUCUGAUCCCGUAGCACAUUGAAUCACCUCGUCUAGAGGCUUAAGCUUAUUUAUUCAAAUGUAGUCCUCGAAAUCCAAUUUAUGAUUUGGGAAAAUGUUCAAGUGGAAUUAAAAGGGCGGCAAAUUUACCAAAGGAGGGAGGAGAAACAAAGGGCCGACGGAUUCAGUUGGCCAGUGGCCAUCGUGAGCCUGAAUUGUAGAAUAGAAACUGAUGGCUCUUCUUAGAGCAGUUGUCACUGCUUCCUCUGUUAUACCUUCUGUUUCGUUGAUUUUGAUGGCUGGUUGAAUUUGAACACAUUGGUUCUCCUUCACUAACUGUAUUCACAUCUAAACCAAAUAGAUUUCACGAUAAAAAACAAUAAAUAUGAAAAUAAAUAUAAUUUGAAAUCAAAAUUUUAUUAAGAUCUCGUCCCAAUUAUAGUCAAUUUUGUAUACAAAUUGUUUUAAUAUUGAUACUAGGCCAUGAUUCUAAAGGAAACUAUGAUAAUUUCUUCAGUUUCUCUCUCUGUCUUUAUAGAAAAUUAUACGCUUUGCUGAGAAUGUAAACUUUUAAAAUACGGUCUUGUAUACAUUAUCGAAACAUACCAUGGACAAUUUAAUUUCUUUUGCACAAUCUGAUCCUUCAAAUUCAAAAUAAAAAUUCAACUUUACUAGAAACCACGAUACCAAUAGUAACAAUUCCAAGCUUUAACAAUAAUGCCAAAAUUAAAAAUGAUCUGCAUGUUAAAAAAUUACAUGAAGUUGUAUUUUUGCAUAAUGUAUUGCAGAGUCCAACCAAGCUAUUCAAAUUUAAAUGGAGAAAACAUUUAUUUCACUUCAUGUUUGUUAGUGGUUUCAUUUCUACCUUAUCCCUUCAGUUAAUAAAAGUUCCAUAAUUGGUAGAGUUACGUUCAGACCAUAUACUUCAGUUUACUUAACACUUCAAAUUUAUUUGGACCACAUAUGAUUGUCCAACAACAUUGGGACGAUUAUGCGACAUCCUAACAGUCUCAUUAUAAGAUUGCUAUAUUAAGAUUUUGUUAAUAUGUUUUUAUUGCUUCUGAAAUAAAUGAGUUGAUGCCUUAAGCUUUUGAUCAUUUUGACAUGCUUAUUUCUUCUUUAUCUUUCAUUUUUCCAGUUCUUAUAUUUAUGGCUCUAUAUUGCUUCAUUUUUAUUUUCUCAUUCUAGCCCAUGUUCUUCUCUCCCCUUUUUGAAGGUAAUCCUCUGACAUAAGAGAAAUGCUAUUUAUAGGAUAUUCUGUCCAAAUUGAUUGUCUUCCAAUUUUAGAAACAAAAGUUACUAUGAGAAUUUAGAAACAAGAGAGAUUAGUGUUCAGACUUAUAUAAAUCUGGUCUGAAAAUUACUCCCUCUUUAUGUGACUUGAUAUGAAUCUCUACUUUAUGCGAACUUUAAAAAUUAUUUAAAAUAUGUGUUGGGGACACGUAGAUUAAUAUUAACUUUAAAAAUCAUUAAACUUUGAAUUGAGGGCGCCAUGCAACACUUAGUACCAUACAUUGGUUUUUUAUAAAUUGAUAGAUGACAAUCGUAGGGAGAAGUUCUGUCUAAGCUCAAGGGUUAUGAUGGAAGUGUCUCUAUAGAGAAAUUUAUUCUAUAGGUUGCUUUCAAUUGGAAUUUUGGAUGUUCCAAGUGUUGGGAAUCUACUUAACAUGCGUAGGGAAAAAUUAAAAUAUAUUUCGAUUCUCGAUUCGUGUUUGUGUUUAGAUAUAAAUUGUGAUAAAGAUAUACCUUUUACAAGAUCUGCAAACUCUUUUACCAUAUCUUUGUUCUAGCAACUUGAAUCUGUCUGUACUAAGAUUCAACUUAAGUCUUACUUAAGGGAAGAUUACUUAAGGAAAAGGUUAUGAGUUCGAAUCCUGAGGGACGCGACAGAAAGCCGUGAGGGGUAAGUGGGCGCAAGGUCCACCCAAAGCGGACAGUAUGUAAGCUAAUGGCUUGGGUACAGAGACCCGGGUCAUUACAAUCUAGGAGUUUGUCUUUUAUGGACAAACACAUGUUUUCAGUGUAGGAAACAAGGGCACAUGGCCAGAUUUUGCCAUAAGAUCUAGCAGAAACAGAGAAACGCAUAGUAGAGACACGAAUAUACACCUAAGAGACAAGCACGAAUCUUUACAUUGAUCAAACUGGAGGAUGAUCAAGAUCAUAAUAUUUUGGUAGGUAACGUUUUAAUAUCCAACUUACAUGCCUAUGUAUUAAUCGACUCUGGUGCCAUUCACUCCUUCAUAUCUCAUAAAUUCGUACGAAGACUAGAUGUGAAUAUUAUACCUGCAUGUUUAUCUUUAGAAGUGUUUAUACCUUCUGGGAAUGUGCUGAAAACGGAUACUAUAUUUAAGGUGGUAAAGAUAGAAAUUGAUGGUAAGUUUUUAGAUAUGGAACUUUAUAUAUUAGAUAUGCAUGAUUUUGACGUAAUUUUUGGGAUGGAUUGGUUACCUAAGAAUCACGUGACAAUUUAUUGUUUCGAGAAGGAGAUCGUCUUCCAAAAACUUGGAGAAUAAGAAUUUUAAUUAUUAGUGGUAUUUUCCUAGUUUGAUUUACGAUUAGGAUACCACCAUCUAAGAAUCAAGAUAGAUGAUAUCUCGAAGAUGGCUUUGAGGACUCGAUAUGGUCACUACGAGUUUUUAUUUAUGCCAUUUGGGUUGACAAAUGUUCUCGGAGUAUUCAUGGACUUGAUGAACCAUGUUUUUCGUGAUUUUCUUGACUCAUUUGUCAUUGUAUUUAUUGAUGAAAUCCUAAUUUAUUUAAAGAGCAAAGAGGAGCAUGAGGAACACUUAAGGAUUGUGCUGAAAAUCUUGAAGAAUGAGAAAUUGUAAGCAAAAUUUAGGAAAUGUGAAUUUUAGUUGGAACAAAUAGUGUUCUUCAGACAUGUCAUUACAGCUCGAGGAAUAUAAGUUGAUCUAAACAAAGUGGAGGUAAUUUUGAAUUGGGUGAGGCCAACGAGUGUCGGGAAAAUACACAAUUUUUUGGGUUUAGUUGAUAUUACAGGAGGUUAAUCGAAUGGUUCUUAAAGAUAUUUGGACCAUUAAUUCAGUUAGCUCGUAAGGGUCCAAAAUUUAACUGGAUUGAAAAGUACGAGCGUAGUUUUGAAGAAUUGAAGCAGAGACUGGUGAAUGUGCUAAUGUUAACCAUACCAGAAGGGACAAAAGGUUUUUAAUCUAUAGUGAUGUGUCUAAACAUGAUUUGGGAUGUCUCCAUGCAACAAGGCUUGGUGAUUGCCUUCGCAUCAAGGCAAUUAAAGCUAUAUGAGUAGAAUUACCAUACUCACAACUUAGAGCUUGGUGCAGUCAUUCAAGCUCAAAAAAUUUGGAGACACUACCUAUAUGGGGGCAAGUGUGACAUUUAUGCAAACCAUAAAAAUCUUAAGUACAUUUUCACUUAGAUAGAAUUGAACAUGAGACAGAGGAGAUGACUUGAGUUAGUGAAGGACUAUGACUACGUAAUCUAUUAUCAUCCAGUCAAGGCAAAUGUGGUAGCAGAGGCCUUAAGUAGGAAGAAGAUGGGUCUAGUGUUGAUAUUGACUUCACAAAAGCCUUCAUGGAAGGAAUUCGAGAGAUUAAGUCUCGAGAUUAUCAUGGUUCCACUUAAUGCUGUGGCUCGAAUGACAACAUUAUCGAUCUGACCAACACUUCGUGAAAGAAUUAAAAGUCAUCAAAAGGGCGACCAGUCCUUUGAGUUUAUUAAGGUUGAGAUAGAGGCAUGAAAAUGGAAGGACUUUACCAUAGUCGAUGAGAAGGUAUUGUACCAUCAGGGAGGGCUAUGCGCACCAAACUUUGAGGUAUUGAAAAAGGAAAUAUUACAGGAGGCUCACUUUGCUCCAUAUUCAGUGCAUCCAAGAAGUACUAAAAUGUUCCGAGAUCUAAAGGUGGUGUUUUGGUCGAGAGGAAUUAAUAACAUAGCCAAGUAUGUUGAAAGGUGUUUGAUAUGCCAACAAGUGAAGACUGAACAUGAACGACCAUCAGCAUGACCUUUUCUAUGGACCAGUAUGCAUGAUUGUAUGUUAAAAAAGUGGUGAAGUUGCACGGUGUACCAGUUUUAAUCGUAUCGAACAGAGACCCAAGGUUCACAUCGAACUUUUGAAAAAUUUUACACCAGGCUAUGGGAACUAAGUUGAACUUUAGUACAACUUUCCACCCUAAAACAGAUGGUCAAUUUGAGCGGACGAUUUAAACGUUAGAGGAUAAGUUUAGAUUGUGUGUAUUAGAGUUUGGUGGACAUUGGGAGAAGCAUCUACCUCUAAUAAAGUUUGCUUAUAAUACCAGUUAUCACACCUCUGUUACUUUAUAAAGCAUUGUAUGGGAGAAAAUGCAGAUCACCAGUUUAUUGUGAGAGGUUGGUGAAUAUAAGAUUUUGGGUCUAGAGAUUAUUGAACAGACUGUACAUGCUAUCGAGAACAUUCAUAACAGUAUUAAAACGGCUCAAGAUAGAAAGGAAAGCUAUGUAGAUAAUAGAAGAAAGGGCUUGGAAUUUCUUGAAGGUAACAGUAUUAUUUAAAGUGGUGCCUAUGAAGGGAGUAUUACGUUUCGCUAAAGUGGUGCCCAUGAAAGGAGUAUUCCUUAUAUCAGUUGACCAUAUCUCCUAAACUCUCAGCAGUACAUGAUGUAUUUCACGUGUCCGUGCUCAGAAAGUAUGUCCCUAAUUUGAACCAUAUAGUGAAUCAUCAAUCAAUUGAGUUACAACGUGGUUUGAGUUAUGAAGAAGUACUAAUUGAAAUUAUUAAUCAGGAAUUUCAAGCAUUUAGAAACAACGUGAUUCGAUUAGUAAAAGUACGAUGGCGUAAUCACUCAGUUGAAGAAGAUACUUGGGAGCAAUAAGUAGAAAUGCGAGACAAGUACUCCUAACUCUUCGAGGAAUCCCAAGAUAAAUUUCGAGGAUGAAAUUUAUUUUAAGGGGAGUAGAUUGUAGCGUCCCAAAUUUUUACUACUAAUUAAAUUUAGGACUAAAGUAUGCUAUUAUUAAAGUUUAAUGACUUUGUUGAUUAUUGAUCUAGUCUAAUGACCUUGUUAGUUAUUGACCAAUAGUUUGAGGACCUAGGUAGAAAGUUAUUUCGAAAAUUAGAUGAAAUCAUGCAUAAAACAUAUGUAAAUAUGAUAAUUGGUCUUGAUUAAUGAUGAUUUAUUGACAACAUGCAUUAUUCACAUCAUAUUUCAAGCCAAUAUAAUUGAUUUGACCAUGUACAUAAAGAAAAUUGAUUUGAUCACAUGCAUUAUUUACAUCAAGUUUCAAGCUAAAUGAAUUGAUUUGAUCGCAUGAUAAAAGCUAUUGAUUUUACCAUUUUCGUGACAAUAUCCAUUUAAGCAUUGACCAUGCCUAACGCCUAACCAUUUCCUUUCAUUUUUCUACACAUGAUCAAGAAUUUUCACUAUAAAUAGGAGACAAACUCAACACUAAACUACCCUUCAGUAACUAUUUACACACUCUCCUUCUCUCCAUCUAUAACUUUGUCUCUCCGCUUCCUCUCUUUCUCUUGUAAUUUUGAUAUUAAAUAUAGCUGUAUACUUAUACAAUCACAGGGAAAUAAUCAAACCCACACGCAGCUGAAAGAUCUCUUUUCAAUAGUAACUCAUUUUAUCAUUUUGAAUUGUCCAAUAAAAAGGUAUGUUGUGCUUUAUUUUUAUGGUGGCUAAUGUUUUGUAUGAAAUAUUUCUAUGACUAAGUUAUGUUUGGUCCAUGUUACGUGUGUUUUAUUGAAAAUGGACUGGAGUUUAGUAUCGUUACGAACGAGAAUUUAGCAUUAUAUAAGUUUUGUCCAAUUUUCAUGUCUCCCUAUGCAAAUUAUGAAAUUUUUCGUAAAAAUACAUAUAUGAAUUCAUUAUUCACGCACUCUUAUUGAGAAUUAUUCUCACCCAUUUUGUCUCUACUUUCAGAUAAUUGACGAUUCGAGGCAGUCGUCAAGAAGAUGGCUUAUGGUGGUAAAAGUUUCAAUAAUAAAAUUAUUAUGUUGUCAAACUAUUUUAAAUAUUUGAAGAUAUUUCUCGUUUCAAGUUAAUUUAUUAAAUUCAUUACAUUAUUUGAAUUUUGGUAAGUGCUAAAAUAAUAAAUAUGAUUAUGUUGAAUAUUCUUUAAAUUAGUUUUAGUUUAGCAAUACUCGAAUCGUUAAUUCAGGUUGUCACAUUUACUCUAUGGAAGUUUAGUUCCUAAAACUUCGAAUAGUUUUCUCAACUCAAAAUUUCAGACUAUAUGCACAAAUAUCCAAAACUAUAAUAAAUAUCAUUACUGUGAGUACGAACAGAACUAUCACGUA